rnacentral:rRNA from 1 species
UGGGAUGGGCUGAUGUAGCACGCCGCGUGUGUGAUGAAGGGUUUCGGCUCGUAAAACACUGUUGUAAGAGAAGAAUGACAUUGAGAGUAACUGUUCAAUGUGUGACGGUAUCUUACCAGAAAGGAACGGCUAAAUACGUGCCAGCAGCCGCGGUAAUACGUAUGUUCCAAGCGUUAUCCGGAUUUAUUGGGCGUAAAGCGAGCGCAGACGGUUAUUUAAGUCUGAAGUGAAAGCCCUCAGCUCAACUGAGGAAUUGCUUUGGAAACUGGAUGACUUGAGUGCAGUAGAGGAAAGUGGAACUCCAUGUGUAACGAAAGAAAUA